GAAAAUUUCAAUACAAUAAAAAUUAAAAGUCAGCAAAAUAAAUAAUUAUGUACAUGAAACAAAUUUAAAAUAAAAAAAAAUCAUCCCCAUCAUCGGCCUAAAUGUGUACCACAACCUGGUGGGUUUCAGUUACGAGGAUUUCAUUGUGGUUGCGGUUCCGGCUUAUCGUUUUCAUCUUCAUCUUCAUCUUCACCUCCGUCUCCAUCUCCACCUCCACCUCCACCUCCACCUCCAC
rnacentral:lncRNA from 1 species